AGCAGAGCUCCAGGCUAGAAGCCAAGUCACACAGGGUAUGAGCAGCUUCAGAAAUAACCACCAUUCAGGUUUGUUUACUGCAAGGAGCUCUCGAAGGAAACCAUCAAAUUUAGGAAAACUAAGUUGAGAUGCUGGAGUGGAGCACAGAGAAGCAACAGGAAGAUGAGAUUUUCACUACUGCAAUGUCUUCUACAGGUUUUCCUCUGCCUCUGUACCUGCAGGAAGAAAAUCUCUUGGCAAGCACCUGGUUGUGGACUUUGUUUCCAUUUGGACCAUACUGCUUCCUGCUGAAAAUGAACAACUCACUUCACUGGAAACUUUCUACAAUUUGCUCAGGUUCAUAAUUUUCAAGGACAGAGAAGAUUCUGAAGAUGUGAAAUAACUAUUUUUGGGUCUCUAAGUUUACUGUCAGUCUCUGAAUUUCUUUUGUAAUAUACCAGUGGGGUAUCAUUCUGAUUCAUAUUUCUGCAUUCUCUGUGUUCAGUCUCAUAGAAUGCCUUGUUAGGAUCAAGAGCAGGAGAAAAUGAUGAACAUGCAGACAGGUUUCCCUGAAUAAAGCAUUGUUCAUCCUUUGGAUUCAAGCAGUUAGCUAAAAAAUUAGAUUUUUCUAGAGAGAAGGAAAAACUGGAUGAAACGGGAGCAUCUUCCAUCCAAAUUUACAUACUUCUGAAGGCUGAUAAAUCUAAUCUUCCUGAAUAUACAAAAAAAUCAAAUAGUAGGAGAUCUCUCCUUUGCCUAUGCCUCCAGUCACAUCUUGCACUCUGGUAACUAAUCUCUCUCUCUUUCUGGACUUCUGCCCCACGUCUGUAUGUCCUCUGCUUCCUUCUCCUCACUUCAGCAAAUAUUCCUCAAUGGCCAGGCACUUGCCUGUGCUGUUUGGGUGAUGACAUGUUUCUUGGCUUUGAUUUGGAGGCUGCUAUAGUUUCAUAAAUGACUGUAAGUGCUUCUUUUCAGCUCUCUGGAAUGAAGGGCAGCUGUUACACCUUGGGCCUCAAUAACAUUUUGUCCAGCCAAGACCGACUUCUUCACCACCUCAUGGAGCCAGCACUGCUCCUGAACACUGUUGGCUUGUCCUCUGGGCUCUAACAUCCUUCUGGGUCUGCUGUUUUCCUCUUCUCCCAUUGCUCUGAUACUUCCUUCAUCUCAAACAGACACAAAAAUACUCAUGCACAUUGUCACUGAAAUGCCCUUCAAUGCUUGCUCUUCCUUCAGGUUUUAAAACCUGGCUGUAUUUAGAAUUGAGAUUGCUGUUGUUUCAGCUCUUUGGUUCCAUGCUACUGCUUGUAUUAAUCAUUUUAAGUAGUGGACAAUUUAAACUCCCAGAUUUUUUAGUGGAAAAUUUGAACUCCCAGUUUUUUUUUUAGUGGACAAUUUGAACUCCCUACCUGAUUUUUUUUUUUUUUUUUCAGUUUCUUUGCUCAUACAGACUAACAGCUUGGAUGCUGGCUUGGUUCUGAGAAACAGAACCUGCCCCAUGUGACGCCCAGUGUUUUUUCAGAAGUUAUUCUCUGCAUUCUUAAUGGUCUUUUAUAGAGAACCUCUCAAAACAAAAGUAGGUAAAAUUGCACCCAUCAGAAAUUGUGCAUGUUUGGUCCUGGAGCAGAAGAUCAAUAGCAAAAGUUUGUUGAGCUUUUUACUUCUGACUUGACAGGAAACUAUCAGAGGACAUAUCAGAGAAGGCAGAGAUGAAUGAGGGAAGGAUUCCUAGAACAGUGGAGGAAUUCCUGCUUUACAAACUCUUUUUAGGGGAACAGCACUAGUUCUUCAAAGAAAGGAAUGGCUCUGCUGCCAAGUGUUUCAGAAUAUUAAUGAUCCAGUUUUUGCCAAGUGUUUGGAAACACAACCAUGGAAUGGUUUGGGUUGGAGGGACCUUUAAAGGUCAUCUAGUCCAAGCCCCUUGCUGUAAGCAGAGACGUGUAAUUCCAAGAGGUUGUUCAGACUCCUGUCCAAACUCGCCUUUAACGUUUCCAGGGAUGAGGCUUCUGCCACUACCAGAGAUGCAGCUCGGGUAAAUCACUUGGGAAUCCUCUCCCUGACCUCAGCUCCCAUCUAAACCAGAUCUCAACAGAGCUUUAAAGAUUUCUUCAGAAAAGUAACAGGAACAGUUUCAGCUCAGUGCUGGGAAAUGAGACACUCGGCACUAACAGAUGUAAUAUUCAUCUCGUCGCAUACUAGGUUGCCCUACUGAUCUUUGAGCUGCUCACACAAAAAGCAUCCUAUUGAGUUUCUGCUGAAAUCUCUUGAAUGCUCAGCAGCACAACCACGCAGAGGAAUAUACAGAACAGGAAAUUAUUUUUCCCCCAAAAUUUUGAUGCACUGUUUACAGAUAAAAUGGCAAAGUGCAGUAAAUAUAUGCUUAUGAGCACAUUUGAUUGUACACUUAUAAAAAUAUUCAGCUUAGAAACAUUUUAUUUGAAAUUUCUGAAUAUUAAAACAUAAAUGAAAUUUUGUUAUCUUUGUGUACUCAACUUUAUUUGAAAUGCUAUUAAAGCUUCAGACUAUUCAAACAAUAAUACUCUGGAUGCCUAGAAAGCCUACAAGGCUUCAUGAGGGCUUUUUUCAGGCUCUUCACAGACAUUAAUUAAAGCUGUGAGAAACUCUGUGCUCUUGGUACUAUUUACAGCUAUUUAGCACUACCUCAUGUGCAUCAUCUAAGGUCAAACAGCAAAUCAGUAACAAAACCAGUGUCAGAAUUGGAGUAUCAGAACUGUUGAGACCUGUCUGAGCUAUUGGGCAUUGUCUUCCACUAGACCAUACUAUCAGUUAUGAAAAUAACUUUUGAUUGCUCAUGCAAGUACAGUUACUAUUAAUACUUAUUAAAAAAAGACUGUGUAACCAGUCUGAAGGAAAACCCCCUAAACUUGUAAAUGUGCUAUUGACAGGCAAUUUCAUUAAAUCUGGUUUCACUUUAUUUGGGUUAUAUAUUCCAUUUCAUAAAAACCUUAUCGUAAAGAUCUAAAUCUGUGAAGAAAGACAUUAAGCAAUUCUUUAUUAUCUCUGCUGGUCUCUUAAAACAAAUCACAUCUAUCCCUUCCUCUAUUAUUCCAGGGAGUGCAAGGGCUGAUGUAUUUUGGGAUAAUUGCUUUGGCAUCCCAGGUUUAUUCUGUCACUGCUGCUGUGCAAGUGCAAUAUUAAAGGAGUAAUCAUCUUUUUUUCUGUAUGGCCCAUCACCAUGGUAUAUAAGCAAUAUACAGUCUGCAGAUUUUGUAAUAGGUAAACCUUUCAAAAAUUUUAUUGGCAAUUUUUUUGAUAAAGACACAUGUCAGACUGCACCCUGUUUAUUCAUACUCUGUAAGGUGUUCUCUAGCUUCGUAAUUUAUUAACAAUGGUCAUUUGUUACACUGACAACUUAGAAAAACAGAUUACUUAGAAGUUAUGAUGGGGUAAUUUUGCUUCUUGGAGCCUCUGCAAUGAAUCACUAUUUUCCCUCCCUCCCUUGACCUAAUUUCAAAAUCAUAUACCUGUGUAAAAUAUUGUGAUGAGAAUUGUGUCUAAUUAUCUUCUAAAUUUUUCUUUUAAUUGCUAGAAGGAUACUCAUUCUUGAAUAAGGGAGGUAUUAAUGAUGUAAUAGUGUUAGAGAGUCCUUGAAAUCUAGAUUAAUUAUUAGUUGUGUGGACUUCUGAGAGUUUUUGAUGUAUUCAUUUGCAUUCACAAAGAUGGCUUUUUAAUUAAAGAGAGUUUUUGAACUUAUACAAAUGAGCCUUUUGCAAAUGUCCCUAGAAACGUGGAAAGUGUUAAAAGUGAGAAGAAUCAAAAUUUUCCUGAAACAUUACCUCCUGCUGCAAACACUGAAUGACCAAAAGCAUUUGAAACUCCAGACCUCAUGUCAGCAGCUCCAGAGGAUCUCCAAGACCAAGAAGAAUUAUAAAAGCCUGUGCUUGUUUCAAAUACCACAGAAAUGGUUCUGUACAAAAGAGCAAUGUCAGAAUAUCUGAUUUCCAUUUCAGCUUCCACCACAGCAUAUGUUUCUACCUUUACCUGCAUGCUUAUUUUUUCCUCUUUAGAAAUUAGAUCCUCUUUCCAAAAGACUCCAGUGUUAAAUGUUUCCUCAUUGUAACUCUUAUGAUCCCUUGUUGCCACCUCAAACUUCUGGUUUUUCUUUCUUUCUUUUUCUUUGUUCAAGAUCAAGAGAACAAACCGAAAGCUCUCAGUCUCCAGGUCUGUUUCACAGAUUUAUAAAUGGUACCAUAUUUCCUGUAUUACAGCCAUUAAGCUCUUAAUGCAGCCUAACAUCUAAUUUACAAUUUUGACUGCUGCUACAUAUUGAAUUUGAGCAGAUGUCUUUACUGAGCUGUCCAUAGUGAUGCCUAAAUCAUUUUCUUCAGAAGUUCACAGCAAAUUCAGAUCGCAGAGAGUGAAUACUUAGUUUAAUUUGUACCUUCUGAAGCAAAUUAUUUUGUAAAGAAGUGGGAUCUCAUCUGACAGAAUACUGUCUGAUCUCCUCAUUUUUGUGAGAUCUACCCAGACCCACUCAUACACCUCUGCCAGGGCUGGCUGCCUAAAUUCAGUUUUCAGUAUGAGCAUAACACCAGCCCCGUCCCACAACUGUGGAUCUAUUCCAGAACUGGGACCUUUAAACCUCCUCCAUGGUCCUGUCUCUUCCACAGCUCCCUCUCACACACAAAACUGUAAUCCAGAAUUACAGGUGUAUUUAGUUUGGUAUUGUGAUAACUUUUUAAAGUCUAUAUCACAAAUACCCACUGAUCUUCCCAUGCCUUGUCUUGUUGAAGUCUUUGUAAGAGGGAAUAAAACAGAUUUAUUUGCAUCUAUUUCCUCUUAUGCUCUUCUUGAAGAUAAAGUAGUUCAGAGUGCCACUAUAAUCUUCAUAACUUAUGGCCAUUAUACUAUAUCUAGUAUAUAGUGCAUAUAUAUAUAUAUACACUAUAGUAUAUACUAUAUAUAUGUGGUAUAUAAUAAUAUAUAGUAUAAUGGCCAGCACUAGCUACCUGGCCAAAUAUACUAUAUGCACUUAUAGAGCAUCUAUUUCAUGUUUCAUUUCCAGGAGAAUAAAUGCUUGACCUAAAUUUCCCUAAAACAAAAUAAAUAACUGACUGAAUCAGGGCUAUUUUUAAAUUUUUACUGUUGUUCAUGACCUCUGUUUUCAGAUCUUUUGUCUCUGAUGAUGUCUAAACUUAAUGACAUGUGCCAGGUACAGGGUAAUGUAGGUAUUAAUUUUUCAAUAUUUUUGGAAAAGAACAUUAAAUGCCAUUCUGUUUCCCAUUCCACUUCUAUGUUUAUUCAUAUUUUAAUUUUUGAAAGUGCUUCUUUUCUGUUCUGAGUCAUUCAAAAAAUUAAUUUCAGCCUCUGGUUACUUGUUUUUCCAAUUUCUUGUAGUUCUCAGACAUGGAACCAUAUAUUCUCACCUUCCAGAAACUUUUCCUUCUUUGCUUCACUUGAGGAAAAGUUUAAUUUUCAAAUCAUAUUUUCUGUUGCUUGAAUAGACAUUUGCAACUUGGGUUUUGACUGUUUCUUCCCAGGUAGCUUUCCUGCUCUGUAAUUGCAUUUGGUAGUGAAAUGUGAACACUAUCCAUGGUUCUGUCAUUAUUUCCUUAAACAUAUUCUGUGUUGAUUUCCUUCCCUGAAUUUUCCCUUUAGCAUAUUUCCACGGAGAUAAACAAUGUUUUUUUACCCUUCCCUUUCACAUGCAUACAUAUCUAGGUGUAAAUUCCUUAAAGGCCAAAUUGUGCUUCUUCAUGCCAUGAGCACAGUGUUAUUUAAUGUCUCACACCGUGUGCCGGCUCAUGUCCUGCAGCAGAGGGGCUGUUCUGAUCAGCAGCACCUCCUGUCACCCAGAUAUUCCUUUCCCUGACCAUCUUCUGAGGCAAUGCUCAACCAGCUAAGCCAGGACAGACAAAGGCAUUUGUUAUUCACCAAAUUUUUUGUUGUCCUCCUUCUGGUGUUUUCCAGUGACCUGCAGCAUUGGAAUUGUUUCUACUGCAGUUCCUGCUGCUCUCGGUCUUGCCGUGAAGUGGGAAUUUUACCUGUGAGGUUUCUGCAUCAAGGUCUGCAUGAAGACCUUGAGACCCCCUGAAGUUCUCCUUGAAAAACAAGAGGAAGAAAAACACACACCUGAAUGAAUAUUUAAUAGCUGGAGAGUCAGGUCCCAGGAGAUGAGACCUGGAGGCUCAAGUUGUGAUUGUGUCUGUUUUUGAGGGGCACCUUAAACCUGAACUUCUGACAGCUGGGUGAAAGAUGCAGUCAACAGACUUGUGGAGUCUGUCUUAAAGCCGCUUCCCUUUUUUGGAAUAAAAGUAAACAUUAUUAUUACAAAAUGUGAGUGAGUUAAUGAUCAUUGGUGCCAUCACUAAUUUGUCUUUCUUGUUUUCUUUGAAAGCUUUAUUCAAAUUGAUAUUUUUCUGGGAAAGAUUUUGCUUUCUCCAAGACAAACUCAGUUGGAAAUACUAGAGAGUCUAAAAAUUUCCCCACAUAUGUAAUUCCAUUGAGUCACCUUCUUUUAACCUUCACAGGUGAAUAUCUGCACUUAGCUUCAGAAAACAUUUUGCUUUCCUGCUGAGUUGCAGACAUUUACCCAUCCCUGAUUUGAAAUAUAGAUUUUGCUCAUAUACUUAGACCCACAGUUGGUGCUGAACCAAAUUCCUUGAUCUAGCACUUUUAUUGUGUACAGAAUUCAUCUGGUUUUAACAUUUCCUCAAAUCUUUCGUUUAAAUAAAUCUUCCCAAAAAAAUUCAUGGUGUUCCUUGAAGGGACAAUGUUUUCAUGUUGCUUAAAAUGUAAACCAUCCGUGCAAUGUAAAUGCAAACCUCCAGGCAAUUCAUUUUCUAAUUUGUUUUCUCCCGCAUUGGAAACACAAGAACACGUACUUCAUUUACAUCUAUUAUUACUAUAUUAUAGAUAUUGUUAUUAUUAUUAACAGUAUUAUUAUUAUUUACUCUGGGGGUGCUAGGUACCCUCAGGCAGAUACAUUGUAAAUUGAAACCAGAUGUCCAACGAAUUGACGGCAAGAUUUCCAAGCAGGACUGAAAUCUUUUCCUAAAAUUCACAAUGCUGCAGACAAACCAACGUGAGUCUGUGUGACAAACAGGGAACAGACCACGGCAAGCCUGAAAUUAUGUCACAUAUAGCCUUGUGUUUACACAAAACUCCCACUUUUCACAGUUUUAAGUUUGCUCUUCAAACACAAAGUGAAAAAAUAACAAAACAAUUAGAGAAAGUAAGAGGCAACAGUAAGAUUAGAAAAUAGGGAAGGUACAUUCGGAAGCCAUUAACAA